rnacentral:tRNA from 1 species
AUUAGGUUAAUGAACUAUUUGUUUAUGUUUUGAAAACAUAAUUAGGAUUUUU